AAAAACACAACCUUUCACGGACCAUUUAGUAUCCAAACUCAGCGACGGGUAAGAAGAUGCGAGUGUAAGUGAAGACACAGAGAGAGACGAGGUAAGACCACUUUUACAGAGAUACUUCUUGUGUACCUGUAUUUGUUAUUUAAUCGUGGAAUUGUUCUUAUUGCUGCAGAUCAUGGAGGGAGGUUGGAAGAAACUGCUUGUUUUUGGGACAGUUUUUCUCCUUGUGGAGGUCACCCACCAAGAAGGCUACACCCGUAAGUACAUCCUUGUCAAUAAUUUGAAGAGCUGGAUAAAAAGCCAGAGCUACUGUAGAGCGGAGUACGGGGACCUGGCCACCAUAAAUGAUGACAGGGUCAUCCGC